rnacentral:rRNA from 1 species
CUACGGGGUGCUCCAGGCGAGAAAACUUUGCAAUGUGCGAAAGCACGACAAGGUUAAUCCGAGUGGUUUGUGCUAAACGAACCUUUUGACAGUCCUAGAAACACUGUUGAAUAAGGGGUGGGCAAGUUCUGGUGUCAGCCGCCGCGGUAAAACCAGCACCUCAAGUUGUCAGGAUGAUUAUUGGGCCUAAAGCAUCCGUAGCCGGCUCUGUAAGUUUUCGGUUAAAUCUGUACGCUCAACGUACAGGCUGCCGGGAAUACUGCAGAGCUAGGGAGUGGGAGAGGUAGACGGUACUCGGUAGGAAGGGGUAAAAUCCUUUGAUCUAUUGAUGACCACCUGUGGCGAAGGCGGUCUACCAGAACACGUCCGACGGUGAGGGAUGAAAGCUGGGGGAGCAAACCGGAUUAGAUACCCUCGUAGUC